rnacentral:lncRNA from 1 species
AAUUAUUUAUGGCUAGGAUUAAUUAAUAUGUUAAUUAAUCAAACGAAUAAGUUCGUUAUAGACCUCGGGUUAGUUUUGGGCCGCAAGGCCCAAUGGGAUUUGAAUGUCAAGCCCAUUAACUCAAGUUGUAUGACAACUUGAAACCAUAAAGGACUUGAAAGCCCAAUGAACCCUUAAUGGCCAGCCAUAUAGAGAGGGGUAGUGAACUUGGCUUAAUUGCAAGUUUGCCACUCAAUUGUGAGGUGGUAUAAAGGCAACUUUAUAGCCAUUUCAUCCUUAGGGUUUGUUUGGAGAAAAGAUGAGAACACAAGCUCCCUUUUCUCUCUAAGAGGCUGGCCACCCUAGAGGAUUUUAGCUAGCAAUCUUAGUUCCUCUAGGUCAUUCAUCUCUUCUUCAAGUCCUACCUUGGUGUGGGGACUUAGAGGUUCUCAACUUUGGGAACUUGGAGAAUCCUUUCAACCAUCCUCAUCCAAGAAAUCCAUGGAGCUAAAAAGCAAGGAAUGAAGGCCUUCUCCUUGGGUGAUUAGCCUUGGCUUAUGCAAAGAGGAAUCAACAAAGGUAUAAAAUUUCUCAACUCACUUUGUUCUUGAGUUGAGUCUUGGUUCACAUAACUACUAGGCUUUGAAUUUCAUGGGUAAUGUUUUGUUUUGAGUGCAUACAAGCAUGAUUCCGCCUUUAAUUGUUAAUUGCAUGUCAUAGAUGUUGCUCAAAUGAACAUGUUUUUCACAAAAUUUCCUUCAAGUGGCAUCAAGAGCCUAGGUCUAGUAGUUGGUGAAUCCUUUUGGGUUUUGUAUUUUCAUAGUUUAUGAUUUGAAUGUUGUAAUUGUUACAAGCUUUAUUCUUGCUUCUUUGAAUGUAAAUUUUGUUAGAAAAUUUGCCAUCUCAAAUGUUGUAGAUGCGGUUCAUAUGAGCAUGAAUUUUGGACCUAAAAUUUGGUGCCAUGUUUUUGGGGAAAUUCGGCCAAAUCCAAAGGGUAUUUUUUUUGGGUUCAUGUUUGUCUUGUUAAAAGUGUUUUAAAGUGACAUUAGGAACCCCUAAGUACCCUAGUAUGCUAAUAUGUUUUUUCCCUUAAGUUUAAUAGUUUUUGGGGUGUCUUUGGGUGAAAAAUGUUCAUGGAGCUCUUAUGGGCUUUCAUGGAUGUUCUUCAUUGUUCUUGUUAUGUUUUUGGCAAGAACAAAAAGGUUGGGUAUUUUGAUUCAAAGUUUUUGGUUGUUUACAUAAAGUUUUUGUUAGUAAUGGAUGGUUUGAAUUUUCAAUCAAUACCCAUACCUUGUUUCAAGGAACCAUGUUUUAUGGAAAUCACUUUUUCAAACCUACCCACCACCUUUCACUUUUGUUGAAAGAUUCAAAAGUUUUAUGACACCUUUUUCUCAUCCAAAACCGGCCACCCUAUUAAAUGGGGGUACUAUUGGGGCUUUUAUGCAAUUACAUAAAGUUUUGAUACUUUUGUGUAUUUGUACUUUGACCGAAAUCACUAAAGGACAAAAUGUUUUGCUCCUUUAAUGAAGUUUUUGUAUUUUGAUGAAAUUUUUGGGUUCUAGUUGUAAUUACAUGAAGUAGUGGACUUUUGUGUUUUUACAAAGUGACCUCAAAAGUUUGUGUUUUGCAAUAUAGCCCAAUAAUUGAGGUUAUUGUUUUUCGGCCCAAAUUAGUUGAGAACAAAAUAGUUUUGUAUCUUUAAAUGAGAAUUGGAUUUUCAUUUCAUUUAGCUCCAUUUAAAUCAAUUCUAUGGAUACAAAAACCAAAUGAAAAUGUUGCAUUCAAGUUUAAUUAGUUAAAGCGUUAAUUAAUUAAAGAAAGGGUGAUUAUGAACCUAAGCCUACGAUAAUUGAGCUAUGUGAAAGGCCGUCUCAAAUUUGUUUGAACCAUGGGAAUGUGUAGAUUAGAUUUUGGUUGUAAUUUGAUAUGAUCAAAAUUGUAAAAGAGCAAAAGCUCUUCUUUACUUUAAAGUAAUUUGUUUUUGAUCAAAUGUUAUAAAAGAAGUACUUCAAAGUAAAGAAAACCCGCCUUAAUGUGAUUAAACACGUAACUAAAAUCAAUCACCAUCCCUAGACCGAGAUUCAACACUAGGCUCGUGUUGGAAUCUAAACAAAGGUUCAUAGUCAUCCUAAGGCCCUAAGGCAACUAUAUAGUCCAUCAAAUGAAUGCAAACCUUAUGUUAGUAGUACCAUAUACUCUUGCUUUAAAAAACCGUUUUACAAGCAUAGUGGGAGUAUUAUAUACAACUAAAUCAAUCACAAUGGACCAAUAGUUUGUAAUAGGACCAAAUUUGUUUUAAUAAGAUUAAAAUGUAUGCUUUAUAUGUGAUGAGAGACCUAAAACCCUCAACCAAACCAUUAUUAAGUUGAUAAGCGUGAGAGUGCUUUGAACACUCUUUCGUGGCCUUCCACCGUGGUAGGCUCCAAUCGUUUGUGACUCGUACACCGACUUCACCCUAUCAUGGGGGAGUACAAAGUGCGUGCUUACACUCAGGAGGAGUUCGAUAUGCAUACAUGAUGUUGUGAAGGUAGGCAACGAGAAUGAUCAACAUCAUAUCAUUGUGAGGUUGUUCU